GAUGAACGCUGGCGGCGUGCCUAAUACAUGCAAGUCGAGCGAACGGACGAGAAGCUUGCUUUUCUGAUGUUAGCGGCGGACGGGUGAGUAACACGUGGAUAACCUACCUAUAAGACUGGGAUAACUUCGGGAAACCGGAGCUAAUACCGGAUAAUAUUUUGAACCGCAUGGUUCAAAAGUGAAAGACGGUCUUGCUGUCACUUAUAGAUGGAUCCGCGCUGCAUUAGCUAGUUGGUAAGGUAACGGCUUACCAAGGCAACGAUGCAUAGCCGACCUGAGAGGGUGAUAGGCCACACGGGAACUGGGACACGGUCCAGACUCCUACGAGAGGCAGCAGUAGGGAAUCUUCCGCAAUGGGCGAAAGCCUGACGGAGCAACGCCGCGUGAGUGAUGAAGGUCUUCGGAUCGUAAAACUCUGUUAUUAGGGAAGAACAUAUGUGUAAGUAACUGGGCACAUCUUGACGGUACCUAAUCAGAAAGCCACGGCUAACUACGUG
rnacentral:rRNA from 1 species